AAGUCGUAACAAGGUUUCCGUAGGUGAACCUGCGGAAGGAUCAUUCAUAAUAAGUGUUUUAUGGCACUUUUUAAAUCCAUAUCCACCUUGUGUGCAAUGUCAGUCGAUCUUCUUCAUGGAGAUCGACCAAACAUCAACCUUUAUCUUUUAACUCUUUGUCUUAAAAAUAUUAUGAAUAAACAAUUCAAAAUACAACUUUCAACAACGGAUCUCUUGGCUCUC
rnacentral:misc_RNA from 1 species